GGCGUUCUAUGGCGUCUAAAUUGGUUGAAUGUACUGUAGUUUAACGUGCUUUGAGUGAUACAAAUUCAGACAUAUCACGAAUAUUGUUCAAAACAAAGACGAAAACGAGGUGAAUUAGGCAAAAAUUCCAAGAACAUAAGUGUAUACUUCCUUAUCGAGAGUUCGAUAUCAACAAAAUAAAUGCUGUUCGUAUUUUUUUUUUCAAAGUGUUCAAGUAGACAUUCUUUCCGGUUGUUGUGUAAUGGUACAGAACGUGGCGUCGCGUCGUGUCGAAUACGUCUUUCUGGCGUCUAAUAUUUAUUUUAUAAAUUCGAUACAAAGUAUUUCGUGAUAAAGUGUUUAUAAUUUGGUUUCGUGAACUUUGAGUUAAAAUAAUGGAGAAAAAAUUUAGAAAAUAUGAAAAAUAUGAAGAGAUACCUGAUGAUUCUUAUAACCUAUUGAUAAACAUCUUAUCUUGAUACUUUAAUUUUCUACGAGUUUCUUCGCAUUCGAUCCAUAGAUCAUGUAAGAAGUCGACAGUUCCGUAAUAACAACCUCAAAACAGAAUCAAUCAAGAUAUCCUUAGCCUGCUUCGAUCCAACGACGCCGUAACUGUCGAUAAAAUUACAGGGAUCCCAGGGCUCGUUCUACGGGGUAAAAAAGCUGUGUACAUGGCAUAAACGAUGUCGAUAAAGUAAUAUUAGCAUUUAGCGCGAUCCGAUAACUCACCCCUGGCAAUUUCAGCGAAUUUCUUCCGUUCAUGAAACAAUCAUUCUUGUUCGAACAAAACUCUAAACUCUAAGGUAUUCACAUAACGAAGUAGUUUGGGUAACCCGAGAAGCCAUGAACUGCUCACCUUUCUAUCGCGAUCGCAACGACAUCCCAAUCGACGACGAAAUUACAGCGAUCGUAACGAGAUCUGGGGGAAGGGGAGGAGGGGGUCAUAGUUCGUGGUAAGACACAAUGGCGGAUCGGUGUGCUCGCUCGAAUGCUCGAGGAGAAAUAGCUUGGAACAUUGUUAAUCCGAAGUUGAUGUAUAUACGCUCAGGAUUUGAAACGUCGUUGCAGACUAAGGGAAGAAGAAGAAGAAGAAGAGGAGGAGGAAGAAGAAAAGGAAUGGUGGUUCUGAAGAAAACGGUUGAUCAAAUGGAUAAACUGUUUUCCUGUUUCGAUAAAGAUGUGAUUGCAUUUAGACGAGUGAAAAAAUUAUGCGAAAAAAUAUCGAGAAAAUAUUUUCAGAUCAUUUGAUGAUGACUUUUUAAUUGAUUGAUUAAAUUAUCGAUUAAGAAUUAAUUUUAAUUAAAAAAUUAUUCUUGUUAAUAUUUGCCCUUUUUCCUAAGAAAUGGGAAAAUAUACUGUAUCGUCUUUAAUCUUUUUGCUAAAUGAAUUUCUUUCUUUUUAUUUUACAUGUAUAAUUUUGUUGUAUCAUUAUAAUUUUUUUUAAAUUUAUUUGAUUUUUUUUACUUCGUUGAAAUAUAAUCUUCUUGUGCAAUAAUUUUGUAAAUAAAUUGUAUAUCAAAAGUAAAUUGCAGAUUAAUCGUUGAUUACAAUGUCGACAUGUUUUAUUAAAUUGCAAGUUUUGGAUUGAAUGUAAAAUAAUACUCUAUCAAGAGAAUUUUCAUUUUGUAUUUUGUUAAAAUUUUUAGAAUUUAUUUCAAAUUUAAAAAAUAGAAAAAUUGAUAAUAUAGAUAUUUUAUUAAAUACAAAAGUUUUUGAUACCGUAAAAUAAUACCAUAUAGAACAAAUUUCAAUUUUUGUUAACAUAAUUAAUAUUUAAUUAAUUUUUUUCGCUAUGAAUAAUUUUAUUAAAUAAAGUGACAAUCAAAAGUUCAUGCCAACUGAAAUAUUUUACAAAGUAUAGAUAUAUAUUUUCGUACAUUACAUUGACACGUAUCAAAAAUUCGAAACUUUUAAUUAAAAUAAAAAAAAAGAACAAUCUUUCUCCAACAUUUCGAUCAUCACACCUACAAGUAAUUAACCUAACCUAUUUUAAUAAACCUAUUAUAAUAAAAAUAUUAUUACACGUCGAGUAUUAUACGAUGAAAUGAGGAAAUGUCAACGUUUUUACUUCACCCUUAAACUGAUAUAACAUUUCCAGUUAUUAUUAUACUAUUAUUAUUAAAAUGCAUAUUAUUAUAUUCUUAAAUAACCAAGACACGUUUCGUAUUAAAAUUCCAAUAUCUAUUUCUGUUAACUAAAUAAUCCAAUGGAAAAUUUUACUUUCGACCACAUUAAUGUAUAAAAUAUAAUUAUUCCUUGAGAAAUUUCAUUUCUUUCACCCUUUCGCCUAUCAUAAGAUCUCGAGGAAAAGAUAUUCACACCGGAUUUCAAUACAAAUAACCACUUUGCACUUCGUAUAAUGCGUUUCAUUACAUGUACAAGAGAGAUCUAAUUGAAUAAAAUAAAACUUGGAUAAA